GUUUGGUUUUAGUUGGUUCUUCAGGUGGCAAUUUGUUUUAUCAGUAGAUUGAUGAUACAAACAAUCCAUUGGAUACUAGUCUAACUAAGAGUAAGAAUAUCAUAACAUGUAACAUUUUAAAUUACAGGAAUUUUCA